rnacentral:rRNA from 1 species
GAUGAACGCUAGCUACAGGCUUAACACAUGCAAGUCGAGGGGUAACGAGAGGAAAGCUUGCUUUCCUUGUCGACGACCGGCGCACGGGUGAGUAACGCGUAUCCAACCUGCCCCCAACUAGGGAAUAACCUUGCGAAAGUAAGACUAAUACCCUAUAAUUUCCUCAGAUGACAUCUGAUGAGGAAUAGAGAUUUAUCGGUUGUGGAUGGGGAGGCGUCUGAUUAGCUUGUUGGCGGGGUAACGGCCCACCAAGGCAACGAUCAGUAGGGGUUCUGAGAGGAAGGUCCCCCACAUUGGAACGGAGACACGGUCCAAACUCCUACGGGAGGCAGCAGUGAGGAAUAUUGGUCAAUGGGCGGUAGCCUGAACCAGCCAAGUAGCGUGCAGGAUGACGGCCCUAUGGGUUGUAAACUGCUUUUAUACAGGAAUAAAGUUAGCCACGUGUGGUUAUUUGUAGGUACUGUAUGAAUAAGGACCGGCUAAUUCCGUGCCAGCCGCCGCCGUAA